AGACGGAGGAUGCAAGCGUUAUCCGGAAUGAUUGGGCGUAAAGCGUCCGCAGGUGGCAAUUCAAGUCUGCUGUUAAAGCGCAGGGCUUAACCCUGUAAAGGCAGUGGAAACUGAAUAGCUAGAGUAUGGUAGGGGUAGAGGGAAUUCCCAGUGUAGCGGUGAAAUGCGUAGAUAUUGGGAAGAACAUCGGUGGCGAAGGCGCUCUGCUGGACCAUAACUGACACUCACAGGACGAAAGCUAGGGGAGC
rnacentral:rRNA from 1 species